rnacentral:rRNA from 1 species
UAAAUGGAAUUUUUUGAUUAAAAUAUCCCGAAUAUUAGUGGGCUAGUUGUAAAAGUAUUUUAAUGUAGCAGAAUUAUUUAUAAUUUGCAGCUUGAAAUUAUAUGUUAGUCAUUCUUUUAUAUAUCUGGUUUUCUAAGAAAUUAAUUUAAUUAAUCUGAUCUAAUAAAUAAUUCUAUUUUAAGAUUUAUUUUUUGAUUAUUUAAUCUUUGAGGGGAUAAGCUUUUAAAGAGAUAUUUAUAAUUUAAUUGGUCAAGUAAUAAAAUAGGAUUAGAAGUUUCCAUUUUUAAUAGAGUUUAAUAACCAAUUUUUUUAGAUUUUGAUUUUUUUUUGUUUAAAUUUUUUAUUAGGAUAAAUUAUUUAAUAAGAAUUUAAUUUUAAUAAUGAUAAAAUUAGUAAAUUAAUAUUGUUUAUGGAUUUUAAUAAUAAUAGUUUUCAUUAAGGAAUUCGGCAAAUAUAUUUUUCGCCUGUUUAAUAAAAACAUGUCUUCUUGUUUAAUAUAUGAAGUCUGACCUGCCCAAUGAUUUAUUAAAUGGCCGCGGUAUUUUGACCGUGCAAAGGUAGCAUAAUCAUUAGUUUUUUAAUUGGAAGCUUGAAUGAACGGUUUGACGAAAAAAUUACUGUCUCUGUGAAAUAAAUUGAAAUUUAUUUUUUAGUUAAAAGGCUAAAAUAAGAAUAAGGGACGAGAAGACCCUAUAGAAUUUUAUAAUUAAUUUUAUUGUAUUUUUAGGGCUUGUAAUAGUAUUAUUUUUAUUAAUUAUUUUGUUGGGGUGAUAGAAAAAUUUAAUAAACUUUUUUUAUUUUGAGACAUUUUUAUAUGAGUAUUUGAUCCAUUUAUUAUGAUUAUAAGAGAAAAUUACCUUAGGGAUAACAGCGUUAUUAAUUUGGAGAGUUCAUAUCGAUAAAUUAGUUUGCGACCUCGAUGUUGGAUUAAAAUUAUUAUUAGGUGGAGAUGCUUAAAUAAUAAGUCUGUUCGACUUUUAAAAUUUU